rnacentral:lncRNA from 1 species
CCACUACGUUCUCAAGAUCAGAUUCUUGCAGCCACCAAGCUCCAAGUCUGAAGAGGUUAGAACCCAGGAACUUGAUGUUACACUCUAGAGCAAUAGGCACAUGAUCUGAUGCCGAGCUUGAAAGGGCCUUCCAAAUUGAAGGAAGGAAUAUGUCCUCCGAUUCAUAAGAGAGCAAGAAGCAGUCCAAACCUUGCUAUGGAGGGGUCAUCUCUUCAAUUUUCCCAUAUAAAAUCACGGCCUUUGAGAUCAAGAUCAAUGAGACCCAGCCCAAAGAUGAGGUCAUAAAACAUCAAGCUAUCUCAUAAGCAUUGUGGGUUACCUCUUCACUCCUUCGGCCUUAAGGUAAAAUUUAAAUCACCACCCAAUAGCCAAGGACCUAACAAAGUACCACACAAAUCAGCAAGUUCCUUGAAUAAAUUAUCCCUGAGAUCACGAACACGCCCAUAAACUGAGGAGAUGCAUGUUGGACCAAAUACACUCCAAUUCAACGGUCAAGGUGAAAGACAGUUUGAGAGUUCUCUUGGGAGAGAAAUGACAAGAGUUCGAUCCAAGCAUCAAAUCCUCGACAGAGCCGAUGGCAUCCAACCAACACGAUUCAUCAAUCUUCGAGCCAGCCAAGGAUCUUAGAAAAUUUUGUGAAAGAGCAGCCACUUUCGACUCCUGGAUCAAAAUAGUGUCACAAGCCAAACUGACAAUCAAAUCCUUUAUGGCUCUUCUUUUCUCCGUUGGUCCUGUUUCCCUAAUAUUGCAAGAAACAAUCAACAUAGAGUACACUGAGCUGCGACCAACCAACCAAACAUUAACACCAAAAUUAAAAUAAACAGUCAAAAGCCGAUGAAAAUCCUAUAUCUCAUUGCAAUCAACACAGAUUCAUGGGAAAAUACAUACAGCAAGAAGUUUAUGAGGCCAUCCACCAAACAUAUGCCACAUGCAUCCAUAUCAGCAUCACAACCAUACCUCCAAAGCCACACAAAGCACCAGCUGCCUCCAAAGUCUAGAGAAUCCACAGAAUGGUUGCACAAGUAAAACCACUACAAAUUGAGAGAGAUGCUACCACGAAGAAGAUUUCAAAAUCCAUAUUGAUCGAGGGCAAGGUCAACCAAAAGGAAGAUCACAACCCAAGCCCAAGUUAAGAGAUAAGAAGGUGAUAUCAACCCAAGAACCACACCCACAUCAACCACAAAAAUAAAAUUGCCAAAGCCCUGGGCCAAUGGACUACACUCUAACCAGCAAAACUAGCGACAAUCCAACAAAACACCAAAUAUCAAACAAAACAACAUCAUCAGGAAGGUAGCUUGCUACCUUCAUCCCAAGAAGCUAAUAGGCUGGCACAGCAACUUUAGCUUGCUCCAGAUCCAGCAAUGUUUGCACUACUUCAUGAGCCGCCUCCUCCAAGAAGAACCCACAUGAACGAUCCAGUUAAGUAGAAGUUGUUAUGGCAUCGAGAUAAGCAGUUUAGAAGGAUUUACCUCAGCAAGAUCGAGCUUACCAUUCUUCUUCUUCCUUGAAGCUGGGAGGAGUCUAGAAUUUGCUUCCUUCACAGCCCCCACCGCCUUCAAACUAGCCGACUUGUGAGUUCUUGGAGAGCAAGGUUCUUACAUGUCAGCAACUUCAAAGGCUUCCUCUACGUCUGCAGUGGUAUCCACCACACCAUCCUCCAUCUGAGUAGAAGCACACGAUUGGCCAAGCCCCUUCUUGUCAAUGGAACCACCAUCAGCUAGCUAGUGACAUGUCGACAUCCAAUUGUUCUUUAAGGGGCCUAGGGAUUGGCUCCACUAAGUCUUCUUCACUCAUGGUCGGACAAGUGACUUCAAC